rnacentral:rRNA from 1 species
GAUGAACGCUGGCGGCGUGCUUAGCACAUGCAAGUCGAACGAAGCAUUUAGGACAGAUUACUUCGGUUUGAAGUUCUUUAUGACUGAGUGGCGGACGGGUGAGUAACGCGUGGGUAACCUGCCUUGUACUGGGGGAUAGCAGCUGGAAACGGCUGGUAAUACCGCAUAAGCGCACAAUGUUGCAUGACAUGGUGUGAAAAACUCCGGUGGUAUAAGAUGGACCCGCGUCUGAUUAGCUAGUUGGUGAGAUAACAGCCCACCAAGGCGACGAUCAGUAGCCGACCUGAGAGGGUGACCGGCCACAUUGGGACUGAGACACGGCCCAGACUCCUACGGGAGUCAGCAGUGGGGAAUAUUGCACAAUGGAGGAAACUCUGAUGCAGCGACGCCGCGUGAGUGAAGAAGUAAUUCGUUAUGUAAAGCUCUAUCAGCAGGGAAGAUAGUGACGGUACCUGACGAAGAAGCUCCGGCUAAAUACGUG